UACAGAGGUCUCAAGCGUUGUUCGGAUUCAUUGGGCGUAAAGGGUGCGUAGGUGGCAUGGUAAGUUGAAGGUGAAAUCUCGGAGCUCAACUCCGAAACUGCCUUCAAUACUGCUGUGCUGGAGUACUGCAGGGGAGACUGGAAUUCCUGGUGUAGCGGUGGAAUGCGCAGAUAUCAGGAGGAACACCGGUGGCGAAGGCGGGUCUCUGGGCAGUAACUGACGCUGAGGAGCGAAAGCGUGGGGAGCGAACAGG
rnacentral:rRNA from 1 species